rnacentral:rRNA from 1 species
CGUGCCUAACACAUGCAAGUCGAGCGGAGCUGGAAGAAGCUUCAGAGAUGGAGCGGGAGCCGGCUUAGCGGCGAACGGGUGAGUAACACGUGGGCAAUCUGCCCUCUGGAGCGGGAUAACAGACCGAAAGGCCUGCUAAUACCGCAUGAGGCCUAGGAGUCGCAUGGCAUUUAGGUCAAAGGGGAAACCCGCCGGAGGAGGAGCCCGCGUCCCAUUAGCUAGUUGGCGGUGUAACGGACCACCAAGGCGAUGAUGGGUAGCCGGCCUGAGAGGGUGAACGGCCACAUUGGGACUGAGACACGGCCCAGACUCCUACGGGGGGCAGCAGUGAGGGAUUUUCGGCAAUGGGCGAAAGCCUGACCGAGCGACGCCGCGUGAGCGAAGAAGGCCUUCGGGUCGUAAAGCUCUGUCUAGGGGGACGAGCAAGGACGGUACCCCUGGAGGAAGCCACGGCUAACUACGUGCCAGCAGCCGCGGUAAUACGUAGGUGGCGAGCGUUGUCCGGAAUUACUGGGCGUAAAGGGCGCGCAGGCGGCGCGUUAAGUCCGGGGUGAAAUCCCACGGCUCAACUGUGGGGGGACCCUGGAUACUGGCGUGCUGGAGUGCGGGAGAGGGAAGCGGAAUUCCACGUGUAACGGUGAAA